CGCGUAGGCGGGAUGGCAAGUCGGUCGUGAAAUCCCUCGGCUCAACUGAGGAGCGUCGAUCGAUACUGCUGUUCUUGAGGAUUGCAGAGGAGACUGGAAUUCCCGGUGUAGCGGUGAAAUGUGUAGAGAUCGGGAGGAACACCGGUGGCGAAGGCGGGUCUCUGGGCAAUUCCUGACGCUGAGGCGCGAAAGCGUGGGGAGCAAACG
rnacentral:rRNA from 1 species